AAACUUACAUGAGUAGGGUACAAUUGGAUUGGUUGAAUUUAUUGCAUGAUACCUACUCCUUGUACCAAUCUUCUACACAAAGACUUUUGAUCUUCUUUUGCAAAACCCCCAAAAAAAUUAUAUAGAAAGAAGAAACUUAAUCUUUGCAUCCAAAGCUCAAUCUUUCUAUGGCUCACAACGUCAAGUCCUCCACCUCCACCACCACCACCGCCAAGUACUCCUCCUCCACCACCAGCAGCAGCAGCAGCAGCAGGAGGUCCACCACUAAGCCCAACACCAGCACCAACAAAAUAGACCAUGGCCAAAAGCAUAAGAAGAUUGUAACUUCUUCAUCAGCACCAAAAGCUCAAACCAGUCACGGCACACACCACCACCACCACCACCACCACCACCAGGAGGUCCACCACCACCACCAUCAUCAUCAACAAGUAUCAAAGCCAAAAGCGCCAGGACGAGCCCUCACUCAACCAAAGCCUAAAGUAGCCAUGGCACAUGCCGCGGCCACCAUCAAAUCCACGACCACCGAGGCCACCAUCAACUUAGGACAUGGAGUAGGACUCAAAGUGGUAACCAAAGAAACAGUAUUCAAAGGUGGAAAGAUAGCUUAUAACAAUUAAUGGAAUUCAAGUUCUCAAUUUAUAAAGGAGUUGGAUGCUGCAGAUAUGAAGCAAUCUUUUGCAGAAUCUGUACUCGGAUUCAUCAGAACUUGUAGCAUGUUAGGAGAUUAUGUUGAGUUUGUUUUUUUUUUCGGUUGUACUUGGUGAACAAAAUAAUAGAAUUAUCUCAUUAUGUUGA